AGUGAACGCUGGCGGUAUGCUUAACACAUGCAAGUCGAACGGAAGCACAGUAAGUGCUUGCUCUUACGGAUUGCGAGUCGCGGAAGGGAGAGGAGUACAUCGGAACCUACAUUUUCGUAGGGGCUUACGAAGCGGGACCUACGCCAAUAUCGGACACGACCUUCGGGUGAAAGCAGGAGAGCUUCUGCGCUUGCGGGAUUGCUUGAGGCGAUGCAGGAUUAGCUAGUUGGCGGGGUAAAGGCCCACCUAGGCGACUAUCCGUAGCUGGUCUGAGUGGAGGAUCAGCCACACUGGAACUGAGACACGGUCCUGAGUCCUACGGGAGGCAGCAGUGGGGAAUAGUGGACAAAGGGCGCAAGCCUGAUCCAGCCAUACCGCGUGGGUGAAGAAGGCCUUCGGGUUGUAAAGCCCUUUUGUUGGGAAAGAAAAGCAGCAGGUUAAUACCCCGCUGUUCUGACGGUACCCAAAGAAUAAGCACCGGCUAACUUCGUG
rnacentral:rRNA from 1 species